GACCAACAGGGAUUCCCUUAGUAACGGCGAGUGAAGCGGGAAAAGCUCAAAUUUAAAAUCUCCUAGGUUCCCUAGGCGAAUUGUAGUUUCAAGAAGCGUAUUUCUGAGGUGGCCGCGGACCAAGUCUGCUGGAAGGCAGCGCCAUAGAGGGUGAUAGCCCCGUAGGUCUCUGAGUCCACUUCGUUAUGAUUGCGUCUUCGAAGAGUCGUACAGUUUGAGAAUGCUGUGCUAAUUGGGAGGUAAAUAUCUUCUAAAGCUAAAUACUGGCGUGAGACCGAUAGCGAACAAGUACCGUGAGGGAAAGAUGAAAAGAACUUUGAAAAGAGAGUUAAAUAGUACGUGAAAUUGUCUAAAGUGAAACGUUUGAAACCAGUAUCGGAGGGCGAUGGACAACCGCAAGGUGCAUUCAUCGCAUUCUGUGCCAGCGACAUUUUGGUCUGAAGUAAAUAGAUUAGGGAAUGUAGGUCCUCGGACUGUUAUAGCCUUGGUUUGUGCUUUGGAUUAGAAUGAUGAUCGCCACUGCCUUGGGGAAGCAGCUGCCUCGAAGCUACCGCCUGUGGACAACUUGUUGAUCAYGGGUGAAUAGUUAGGGAUCGGUUGUGUACCACUCUCAGUGUAGGUCGCUGGUGAAAUGGUUUUAAGCGACCCGUCUUGAAACACGGACCAAGGAGUUCUACAAAUGCGCGAGUCUUUGGGUGUCAAACCCGAGGGCGAAAUGAAAGUAAACGUAGGUGUGAUCCGCAAGGUGCAACAUCGACCGGACUGGAUUUUCUUGAAAGUUCUGAGUAAGAGCGCAUUUGCAGAGACCCGAAAGAUGGUGAACUAUACCUGAGUAGGGUGAAGUCAGAGGAAACUCUGAUGGAAGCUCGUAGCGGUUCUGACGUGCAAAUCGAUCGUCGAACUUGGGUAUAGGGCGAAAGACUAAUCGAC
rnacentral:rRNA from 1 species